rnacentral:tRNA from 1 species
GGAGAGAUGGCUCAGUGGGUAAGAGCACUGACUGCUUUUCCAGAGGUCCUGAGUUCAUAUCUGAGUCUCACAA